AAAAACGACUCUCGGCAACGGAUAUCUCGGCUCUUGCAUCGAUGAAGAACGUAGCGAAAUGCGAUACUUGGUGUGAAUUGCAGAAUCCCGUGAACCAUCGAGUUUUUGAACGCAAGUUGCGCCCAAAGCCAUUUGGUUGAGGGCACGCYUGCCUGGGUGUCGUG
rnacentral:rRNA from 1 species